rnacentral:rRNA from 1 species
GGUUUCCGUAGGUAAGUUAGGCAACAUUUUUCUACUGGCAAAACCUUAAACCGAUACUAACUAAACUUUUUAGGUGAACCGGAUCAUUAACGAGUUAGGGUCUUCUGGGCCCGAUCUCCCAACCCUAUGUUUAUAAAACUUGUGUUGCUUCGGCGGGCUCGUCUAAACGACCGCCGGUAGCCUAAUUUUAACAAAUUCUUGAAUGAAGUCGUGUCGUAUGUCUAAGUUGAAGAAAUCAAGAACAAAAACAAAACUUUCAACAACGGAUCUCUUGGUUCUGGCAUCGAUGAAGAACGCAGCGAAAUGCGAUAAGUAAUGCGAAUUGCAGAAUUCCAGUGAGUCAUCGAAUCUUUGAACGCACAUUGCGCCCUUUGGUAUUCCGAAGGGCAUGCCUGUUCGAGCGUCAUUAUCACCCUUCAAGUCCCCCUCCUUUUAGUGGGUGUGGAUUUUGGUGUUGGACGGCCUGGGUUUGGAAGUUUUCUCUCGAGCCCCCUCCCAAAGACAAUGACGGCGGCCUCGUGGGACCCCCGGUACACUGAGCAAACCUUUUCCACUAGGAAGCACGUAUCGGAUCAAAGGGUCGGCGAGGCAACGGUCUUACCUAUAAAAAAUUUUUUUUUUUUUAAUGGUUGACCUCGGAUCAGGUAGGGAUACCCGCUGAACUUAAGCAUAUCAAUAAGCGGAGGAAAAGAAACCAACAGGGAUUGCCUCAGUAACGGCGAGUGAAGCGGCAACAGCUCAAAUUUGAAAUCUGACUCCUUGAGAGUCCGAGUUGUAAUUUGUAGAGGAUGUUUCGGGUUCCCGCUCCGGUUUAAAUUUCUUGGAACAGAAUGUCAAAGAGGGUGAGAAUCCCGUCUUGGACUGGCGGUCGGGGCCCAUGUGAAACUCCUUCGACGAGUCGAGUUGUUUGGGAAUGCAGCUCAAAAUGGGUGGUAAAUUUCAUCUAAAGCUAAAUAUUGGCCAGAGACCGAUAGCGCACAAGUAGAGUGAUCGAAAGAUGAAAAGCACUUUGAAAAGAGAGUCAAAAAGUAUGUGAAAUUGUUGAAAGGGAAGCGCUGGCAACCAGACUUGCGCGCGAUGGUUCCCCCUUCCUUCUGGUUGGGUUACUCCGUCGUGUCCAGGCCAACAUCGGUUCUGGGGGUCGGUUAAAGGCCGUGGGAAUGUAUUUACCCUUUCGAGGCGUAGACUUAUAGCCCACGGUGUCAUGCGGCCUCCCGGGACCGAGGAACGCGCUUCGGCUCGGAUGUUGGCGUAAUGGUUGUCAGCGACCCGUCUUGAAACACGGACCAAGGAGUCUAACAUCUAUGCGAGUGUUUGGGUGUCAAACCCGGAACGCGAAAUGAAAGUGAACGGAGGUAGGACGCUUCGGCUGCACUAUCGACCGAUCCUGAUGUCUUCGGAUGGAUUUGAGUAAGAGCAUAGCUGUUGGGACCCGAAAGAUGGUGAACUAUGCCUGAAUAGGGUGAAGCCAGAGGAAACUCUGGUGGAGGCUCGCAGCGGUUCUGACGUGCAAAUCGAUCGUCAAAUUUGGGUAUAGGGGCGAAAGACUAAUCGAACCAU